UGCAGUCGAGCGGUAACAGACAUUUUGAUUUUGCUUGCAAAAUCUCGUGCUGACGAGCGGCGAACGGGUGAGUAACGCGUAGGAAUCUACCUAGUAGAAGGGGAUAGCCCGAGGAAACUCGGAUUAAUACCGUAUACGUCCUUAGGGAGAAAGAGGGCUUAGCUUUGAUGCUCUCGCUAUUAGAUGAGCCUGCGUAAGAUUAGCUUGUUGGUGAGGUAAAGGCUCACCAAGGCGACGAUCUUUAGCUGGUCUGAGAGGACGAUCAGCCACAUUGGGACUGAGACACGGCCCAGACUCCUACGGGAGGCAGCAGUGGGGAAUAUUGGACAAUGGGCGCAAGCCUGAUCCAGCCAUACCGCGUGUGUGAAGAAGGCCUUCGGGUUGUAAAGCACUUUAAGUAAGGAAGAAAAGAAUAUUGUUAAUACCAAUACUCCGUGACAUUACUUACAGAAUAAGGACCGGCUAAUUCCGUGCCAGCAGCCGCGGUAAUACGGAAGGUCCAAGCGUUAAUCGGAAUUACUGGGCGUAAAGCGCGCGUAGGUGGUUUAUUAAGUUGGGUGUGAAAGCCCCGGGCUCAACCUGGGAACUGCAUCCAAAACUGAUUCACUAGAGUACGAAAGAGGAAAGUAGAAUUCACAGUGUAGCGGUGGAAUGCGUAGAUAUUGUGAAGAAUACCGAUGGCGAAGGCAGCUUUCUGGUUCUGUACUGACACUGAGGUGCGAAAGCGUGGGUAGCGAACAGGAUUAGAUACCCUGGUAGUCCACGCCGUAAACGAUGACAACUAGCUGUUGGGAAGCUAUGCUUUUCAGUGGCGCAGCUAACGUCUUAAGUUGUCCGCCUGGGGAGUACGGCCGCAAGGUUAAAACUCAAAUG
rnacentral:rRNA from 1 species